rnacentral:tRNA from 1 species
GGAUGUAGCUUAGCUGGUUAAAGCGCUGGAUUGUGGUCCCAGAGACCGUGGGUUCGAAUCCCAUCUUC